rnacentral:rRNA from 1 species
CGGGAGGAAGCUUGCUUCCUUGCCGGCGAGCGGCGGACGGGUGAGUAAGGUAUGGGGAUCUGGCCGAAGGCGGGGGAUAACCACUGGAAACGGUGGCUAAUACCGCAUAAUCUCUAAGGAGCAAAGUGGGGGACCGUUCAGGCCUCACACCUUCGGAUGAACCCAUAUGAGAUUAGCUAGUAGGUGGGGUAAUGGCUCACCUAGGCGACGAUCUCUAGCUGGUCUGAGAGGAUGAUCAGCCACACUGGGACUGAGACACGGCCCAGACUCCUACGGGAGGCAGCAGUGGGGAAUAUUGCACAAUGGGCGCAAGCCUGAUGCAGCCAUGCCGCGUGUAUGAAGAAGGCCUUCGGGUUGUAAAGUACUUUCAGUCGUGAGGAAGGUGUUAAGGUUAAUAACCUUAGCAAUUGACGUUAGCGACAGAAGAAGCACCGGCUAACUCCGUGCCAGCAGCCGCGGUAAUACGGAGGGUGCGAGCGUUAAUCGGAAUUACUGGGCGUAAAGGGCACGCAGGCGGUUAAUUAAGUUGGAUGUGAAAUCCCCGGGCUUAACCUGGGAAUGGCAUUCAAGACUGGUUAACUAGAGUCUUGUAGAGGGGGGUAGAAUUCCAUGUGUAGCGGUGAAAUGCGUAGAGAUGUGGAGGAAUACCGGUGGCGAAGGCGGCCCCCUGGACAAAGACUGACGCUCAUGUGCGAAAGCGUGGGGAGCAAACAGGAUUAGAUACCCUGGUAGUCCACGCUGUAAACGAUGUCGAUUUGGAGGUUGUGGUCAUGAACUGUGGCCUCCGGAGCUAACGCGUUAAAUCGACCGCCUGGGGAGUACGGCCGCAAGGUUAAAACUCAAAUGAAUUGACGGGGCCCGCACAAGCGGUGGAGCAUGUGGUUUAAUUCGAUGCAACGCGAAGAACCUUACCUACUCUUGACAUCCAGCGAAUC